AGAAUCAACGCUGGCGGCGUGCCUAACACAUGCAAGUCGAACGAGAAAGUGGUAGCAAUACCAUGAGUAAAGUGGCGCACGGGUGAGUAACACGUGACUAACCUACCCUGGAGUGGGGGAUAACUGAGGGAAACCUUAGCUAAUACCGCAUAACACCUACGGGUCAAAGGAGCAAUUCGCUUCAGGAGGGGGUCGCGGCAGAUUAGCUAGUUGGCGGGGUAAUGGCCCACCAAGGCAGUGAUCUGUAUCCGGCCUGAGAGGGCGCACGGACACACUGGAACUGAAACACGGUCCAGACUCCUACGGGAGGCAGCAGUGGGGAAUUUUGCGCAAUGGGGGAAACCCUGACGCAGCAACGCCGCGUGGAGGAUGAAGUCCUUCGGGACGUAAACUCCUUUCGAUCGGGACGAUAAUGACGGUACCGAGAGAAGAAGCCCCGGCUAACUUCGCGCCAGCAGCCGC
rnacentral:rRNA from 1 species